GGAGUCAGGAUUAGAACCCAGGUCCUUCUGGCUCUCAGGCCUGUGCUCUCUCCAUUAGGCCACGCUGCUUCUUUUGACCCUGGGCUUCCUGACUCCAAGGCCUAUGCUCUGUCCACUGAGCCACAUUUCCUACUCCAAGAUGGGAGUCAGCAGGAGGUCCAGCCCUAAGACAUUGUUUUGGAGUCAUUUUUCUGAAUUCUCAUAACCAUGGAAGGAUGCUUGAUAGUGUGUGCCCCUUUGAACUGAUGAGGAAAUUGAGGUGUGAUUUGCCCUAACCCAGUACUUAGUAGAAUGCUCUAUACAUGGGGAGCUUGGGAGCCGUUUGUUGUAGACUCUGCUGACCACUUUGACAACCGCUGCCUGAAGACUAACAGGCUCCUACUGGGUUUCAGAUUCCCUGUGAUGAAAGGAGGAGGAGGAGAAGUAGGUGGCCUAGUGGAAAGAAUCCAGGCCUGGGAGUCAGAAGACCAAGCUUCUAAUCCCUGCUCCGCCACUUUUCUGCUGUGUGAAUGUGGGCAAGUCGCUUAACUUCUUUAUGCCUCGAUUUCCUCAUCUUUUAAAUGGAGAUUAAAUACUUGUUCUCGCUCCUCUUUUGACUCUGAGUCCCAUGGAGGACAGUGACUUAAUAUAGUGCUUGAAAUAGGAAAUGCUUACCAAAUACCAUAAUUAUUAAGCUUCUUGUGGCCAGGGUACCUGUCUACCAAAUCUGUUGUAUUGCACUCUCCCAAGUGCUUAGUUAGUGCUCCAUACCCAG
rnacentral:lncRNA from 1 species